rnacentral:rRNA from 1 species
GACGAACGCUGGCGGCGUGCUUAACACAUGCAAGUCGAGCGGUAAGGCCCUUUCGGGGGUACGACGAGCGGCGAACGGGUGAGUAACACGUGGGUGACCUGCCCUCAGCUCUGGGAUAAGCCUGGGGAAAACUGGGUCUAAUACUGGAUAUGACUCCACGGUGCAUGUCGUGGGGUGGAAAGCCUUGUGCGGCUGAGGAUGGGCCCGCGGCCUAUCAGCUUGUUGGUGGGGUGAGGCCUACCAA